rnacentral:misc_RNA from 1 species
UUUCCGUAGGUGAACCUGCGGAAGGAUCAUUACAGAGUUCAUGCCCUCACGGGUCGAUCUCCCACCCUUGAAUAUUUAUACCUUAGUUGCUUUGGCAGGCCGUGGAAACACCAUGGGCUCCGGCUUAUGCGUGCCUGCCAGAGGAAACAAACUCUGUUUUUAGUGAUGUCUGAGUACUAUAUAAUAGUUAAAACUUUCAACAACGGAUCUCUUGGUUCUG